UUUUUAAUUUUUUUUAGUUAAUUAUUUUUGAAUUUCAAAUAUUGAUAUUAUAAAUCAAGAUAUUUAUUUUUAAUAAAAUAAUAUUUUAUUGGUAUAAAAUGCUAUACUAAUAUAGCGUUAGUAUUAUUAUAUUUAUUAUUCAAAUAUUAUGAUUUACAGUACUAUAUUAUUACUUUUAUUGGUAUAAAAUACUAUACUAAAUUAAAUUUACACAUUUACAUAUUUUAUUAUUUUAAAGUAAUUAAAUAGUGUAUAUUUUAAUUAACAGAAUUACAAUUUAAGAAAAAUAAAUAAAUUAUUUUUUAUUAAAAUUAACCUAAGAAAAAACUUCCGCACCAAGGCGCAGAUCUCUU
rnacentral:lncRNA from 1 species